rnacentral:rRNA from 1 species
UACGUAGGGGGCAAGCGUUGUCCGGAAUUAUUGGGCGUAAAGGGCGCGUAGGCGGCCUGCUAAGUCGGACGUGAAAUCCCCGGGCUCAACCCGGGAACUGCGUCCGAUACUGGAAGGCUUGAAUCCGGGAGAGGGAUGCGGAAUUCCAGGUGUAGCGGUGAAAUGCGUAGAUAUCUGGAGGAACACCGGUGGCGAAGGCGGCAUCCUGGACCGGCAUUGACGCUGAGGCGCGAAAGCCAGGGGAGCAAACGGG